ACUUUUGGUGCUACAUCCCCCCCAAGCCUGUUAAUUUAUGUGCAUAUGGCUUGUUAGUUACUGAAACCAGCAACAAGUGUCUGAGAUGCUAUAUCUUACUUUACUGUGAGCAUAAAUGUCAAGAACAAUGGCAAGCUUUUUCCAACAGAGCCAUUUUCAUGAUUGAGGAAGUACCAGUUAUGCACCACGGUUUUACGGUCCAACUUAUCUCCGAAGUUGUUAAACGUUUCUUCCCUGCAAACAUGGAAUGGUGUCUGUUAAGGGUUAAGAAUUCUAUCGACCCUGUGAAAUUUUCAACUAAUAGCUAUCUGAUGGCCACAAUGAUGGGUAGCCAACACCCCUGAAAAAGUGCAACAUCUACAACUUUCAGUCAUGCUUAUUGCUACUAUAUAAAUUAGGUUGCACAUUUGAACUCCAAUAAGGUAUCUGGACUCUACCCUCACUGCAUAAAAUGUGCCUUUUUGCUACAGAAGACAUAACGGAAUUCUGGACUAUAUGCAAGGCAAGGUUAGUUCCUGAGCUUUGCAGUUACAAAAUUGAUAAUUGUUUGCGGGACAUUAGGAAAUUAUGCCAUUAGCCGGAACAUAUGAACUCUAGCAGAGAAAUGGGAUGAAAACUUAAGCCAGCAUUUUCACACCUGCUGUGUUUUCUAAACACUAAUGUGACAUAUUUUGGUUGGUCCGAUGUGUUCUAGCAAACAGUCAUGAUUUUAGAAUGUACAUGAGCAAAUUAUCGAUUUACAGUAUGAUCCAUCAAAUGCCAACCAAUUGAAGCGCCUGGGAGUCGUCAAUCUUGCCUAUUUUCAAUAUACAUAACUGAACAGAAUGGAA